rnacentral:rRNA from 1 species
AAACUGCAUAUCAAUAAGCGGAGGAAAAGAAACUAACAAGGAUUCCCCUAGUAACUGCGAGUGAAGCGGGAAAAGCUCAAAUUUAAAAUCUGGCGGUCUCUGGCCGUCCGAGUUGUAAUUUAGAGAAGCGUCUUCCGCGCCGGGCCGUGCACAAGUCUCCUGGAAUGGAGCGUCAUAGAGGGUGAGAAUCCCGUCUUUGGCACGGAUGCCUGUGCUUCUGUGAUGCGCUCUCGAAGAGUCGAGUUGUUUGGGAAUGCAGCUCAAAAUGGGUGGUGAACUCCAUCUAAAGCUAAAUAUUGGCGAGAGACCGAUAGCGAACAAGUACCGUGAGGGAAAGAUGAAAAGCACUUUGGAAAGAGAGUGAAACAGUACGUGAAAUUGUUGAAAGGGAAACGCUUGAAGUCAGUCGCGUCGACCGAGACUCAGCCUUGCCUUGGCUUGGUGUACUUCUCGGCCCGACGGGUCAGCGUCAAUUUUGCCCCUCGGAUAAUGGCAAGGGAAAGGUGGCACCUUCGCGGGUGUGUUAUAGUCUCCUGUCGCAUGCGAGGGGUGGGAUUGAGGAACUCAGCGCGCACCUUGGUGUCGGGGCUUCGGCCCACGUCACGCGCUUAGGAUGCUGGCGUAAUGGCUUUAAACGACCCGUCUUGAAACACGGACCAAGGAGUCCAACACGCCCGCGAGUGUUCGGGUGGAAAACCCGUGCGCGCAAUGAAAGUGAAAGUUGGGACCUCUGUCGUGGAGGGCACCGACGCCCGGACCAGACCUUCUGUGACGGAUCUGCGGUAGAGCGUGCGUGUUGGGACCCGAAAGAUGGUGAACUAUGCCUGAAUAGGGUGAAGCCAGAGGAAACUCUGGUGGAGGCUCGUAGCGAUUCUGACGUGCAAAUCGAUCGUCAAAUUUGGGUAUAGGGGCGAAAGACUAAUCG